GAUGAACGCUGGCGGCGUGCCUAAUACAUGCAAGUCGAGCGAACAGACGAGGAGCUUGCUCCUCUGACGUUAGCGGCGGACGGGUGAGUAACACGUGGAUAACCUACCUAUAAGACCGGGAUAACUUCGGGAAACCGGAGCUAAUACCGGAUAAUAUAUUGAACCGCAUGGUUCAAUAGUGAAAGACGGUUUUGCUGUCACUUAUAGAUGGAUCCGCGCCGCAUUAGCUAGUUGGUAAGGUAACGGCUUACCAAGGCAACGAUGCGUAGCCGACCUGAGAGAGUGAUCGGCCACACUGGAACUGAGACACGGUCCAGAGUCCUACGGGAGGCAGCAGUAGGGAAUCUUCCGCAAUGGGCGAAAGCUUGACGGAGCAACGCCGCGUGAGUGAUGAAGGUCUUCGGAUCGUAAAACUCUGUUAUUAGGGAAGAACAAAUGUGUAAGUAACUAUGCACGUCUUGACGGUACCUAAUCAGAAAGCCACGGCUAACUACGUG
rnacentral:rRNA from 1 species